AAGAAGCUACUUCCCCCACCAAGCAUUUUUGUAACUUCCACAGUUGCUCGUCCUCUACAUGACCUUGCACUACCUUUCCUAUAUUCAUCCCCUCUCCACCCGAACCACUACCUAACUCUCUUUCAAAUCUUUUCGCUUUCCAAGCUACAUCCAUGUGUUCUUGGACUUCCUUCCCUCUAAGCUCGUCGACAACUCCUUUCUGACUUGGUUCUUUGAAAGACGAAGAAUUACGUUGACUGGUCGCAUUUCUCCAUGUUACUCUUCUUCCGUUAAACCUAGCUAUAUUCACCCAUAUUCUAUUUCCAAGAAUCACAAAGCCAUUAAGUCUUGAUAUCGCUCGUUGAGCAUCCAGAAAAUUAGAGAAUCUCACAAAACCGAAUCUCUUUCCAUUCCUGCUUGUUUUCU
rnacentral:lncRNA from 1 species